rnacentral:lncRNA from 1 species
CCACCCUACACUUGGUCCUUACUUCUUCUAGCGAUCAUUUCACAAUUAAAGUGCCAUAAGAGGUAAUACGAUCAGAAUUAUGUCAUUUAAGAACAAAAGGUUAUAGGCUCGUAAUGUGGGUGCCAAAUAAAUAAGUAUGGACUCAAAAGAGUUUAAUAGUGACAAAUUUUAUUUAUGAUAAGAAAUAAAGCUCAAAAAAAUCAAAGAAAGCCUAAAAUUAUUUUUCAAACCAAGUCUCACCUAAAAUAUCGCUUCAACUCACAUACAGGUCAAGUUCUAGACUCAAUUACAAUAACAUGGACUACACAAAAUCUCACUUCAAACAUGGCACAUGACUUACUAAGAAAGGCCCCAUUCCGACUCUCAACAAAUGCAAGUAUUCACAACAUCACGAGAUAUUAAGCAUUAAGCCCUAAGUGAGCACAAGUCAAGUAAAACCUUUAACAUCAAACUCAAAGACUUUCUUUUACCAGCAUGCAUACACCUAUUUUCAUAUAAUACUAUCCUAAGUAUAGGGUAGUACAAUCAACACUCAAAGAUGACAACCUUAAGAACCCCCAAAUUGAUAUAAUUUGAGAAAAAAAUUAUCGACUCCUCAAGAGCAUACAACACACAGAUACAUCAAAGUUAUUGGUUUUUGCACAUGAAACUAGUGAGUCAAACAAGAAUAUAUCAGGUCAUUAGAGCCCUGCUAAUGAAUUAGAAUUCAUUUGAAUACACUUGGCAACCUCCAAAAUAAACUAAAAGUCCAAACAUACGAUUACAAAAAACUACAUAACAUUUACUGAAAUUAUACCAAGCUCAAUUAAAACUGUAGACAAACUAAUUGAUAAACAUCGAGCCAUAACAAGACUAUCAGGAUCAAACUUUAAAAUGAGGCUGAAAUUUUGACAUGGGAGCACCAUCUUUCAUUCAACAUUCACAUUUCACUGCAAGGAUUCGAAAAUGUACUUGGAUACAAUCAAAAAUAGCUAUAGAACUUCAGAAGAAGGUGAGAUCAGCAGUAGUUAACAGCAGAACCUCAGUUUCAAUUCACAUUUGGAAUCCAAGAAAACAGCAAAAUAUUAGACCCUUUUUCAAUCCCAAAAAAAUCAGCCAACGUAUAGUGUUUCCAAGCAAAAAACAAACCUAGAAAUUUCAAAACAAACCAUUGUUCGAACUAUCUCAAUCCAGAAUGAGAAUUUAUGAUUUUUCAGAUGUUUCUUCAAGGAAUUUUAACUAAUGGAAGGAUUAGAAGUUUCCAAUCUACUCAGAAUUUUGAAAAAAACUCCAGUUGUUUCAGCUUUUUAGACUUUUUAUCCUUCUUUUUCUACCAUGAAUACCAAAAUAAGGUGCCUUUAUAGGCAAGGCAUUUAGGGCUGUAGAAUGCCACUAGUUUUGCACUUUGCACCUUUCAGUAUUUUCAUUUUAGCUUAGAAACCCUUAGUCAAUUUUUGUUUUUGCUCAAAUACACUUAGUUCAAAUAUCAAAAUUUCAGAAUAAUCCCCAUCCCACCUUCCAGGAAACUUUCCCAGUUAGUUUACAAGAUUAUUUCACCUAAAUCCCCUAAACUAUCCCUUAAACUACAUGUUUUUACCUUUAACCUACCAAAAGAGUCAAGUUAACCCAAGUUCUUUGGGUUGCUGUGUUGGCAAGUUCUAUGGCCUUUGGGCUUCUGAACCCUUGAAGCUCGACUUGUGAUCAAAAACCACAGGCCACAAAUAAGUGAGCCCAGCAAUUCUGCCAAUUUUGGCAUCAAAAGAAAAAUGAAUAGAGCAGGACAAAAGACGAAAUGCAAAUGAUAAACAGGCAAGCAAAAAAAUAAAAAAAAAUCAAAAAAUACUAACGAAGAAAAUAUUAAUUACACUAAUAUGUUGAUAAUUACUAAUAUGACUUAAAUUUAAAAUAUGCAACAUAUAUCAACUCGAACUAGCAAAAGAAGAAGAACGACAUGUGAAGAAAAUGACAGAUGUAACUUGAAAUGCAUGCAAAGAAUGACAGAAAAGAUAAUAGAUAAAAGAGGAAGAAGACAGAAGAAGAUGAACACGGAAAAACAACACAAAAAUGAUGGGAAUCAAAAAAAUACCUAGAAUAGUAGACAACAAGAAGACGGCUUGAACGGACUUCCAUUCUGAUUUCGAGCCAAAGUUGGUGUUUCUCAAAAGGUUCUUGCCAAAAACCAAUGAGAAACAUCAAUUUAGGCCUUAAACGGUCUUUGAAGCUUGAAGAAAUCGAGAGAUUUUUGGUUGUCAUUUUUUUCUACCUCUUUAGAUCUAAAAUUGGCUUAACUUUGUGAUGAUUUGAGGAUUAUUGAUGGUGGAUUUGAAAAUGGGAAGCCAUGGGGUUAUUGUGGUUGAGGUUUGGGACUGAUUGAAGGAGGUUCCGCUGGUGAAAAUGGCGAAUAUCCUCGAGGCGGCGCUAGGGUUAUCUAUGACAGAGAUGAUAGAGAUGGACGGAGGGGGGUUUUGUCUGGACUAAGCUGUUUCUGCAGAUCUUAGGACGGUUUUAAUUGAAAUGAUGAAAGUGUUUUCCACAGUUGGAUGAAUUGAGAUGAAGGGCUCGUAUUAUUUUAAGACUGGGGAACUCUAAAU